UCGCUGACGAGUGGCGGACGGGUGAGUAAUGCUUGGGAACUUGCCUUUGCGAGGGGGAUAACAGUUGGAAACGACUGCUAAUACCGCAUAACGUCUACGGACCAAACGGGGCUUAGGCUCCGGCGCAAAGAGAGGCCCAAGUGAGAUUAGCUAGUUGGUAAGGUAAAGGCUUACCAAGGCAACGAUCUCUAGCUGUUCUGAGAGGAAGAUCAGCCACACUGGAACUGAGACACGGUCCAGACUCCUACGGGAGGCAGCAGUGGGGAAUAUUGCACAAUGGGGGAAACCCUGAUGCAGCCAUGCCGCGUGUGUGAAGAAGGCCUUCGGGUUGUAAAGCACUUUCAGUUGUGAGGAAAAGUUAGUAGUUAAUACCUGCUAGCCGUGACGUUAACAACAGAAGAAGCACCGGCUAACUCCGUGCCAGCAGCCGCGGUAAUACGGAGGGUGCGAGCGUUAAUCGGAAUUACUGGGCGUAAAGCGCACGCAGGCGGUUUGUUAAGCUAGAUGUGAAAGCCCCGGGCUCAACCUGGGAUGGUCAUUUAGAACUGGCAGACUAGAGUCUUGGAGAGGGGAGUGGAAUUCCAGGUGUAGCGGUGAAAUGCGUAGAUAUCUGGAGGAACAUCAGUGGCGAAGGCGACUCCCUGGCCAAAGACUGACGCUCAUGUGCGAAAGUGUGGGUAGCGAACAGGAUUAGAUACCCUGGUAGUCCACACCGUAAACGCUGUCUACUAGCUGUUUGUGGAUUUAAUCCGUGAGUAGCGAAGCUAACGCGAUAAGUAGACCGCCUGGGGAGUACGGCCGCAAGGUUAAAACUCAAAUGAAUUGACGGGGGCCCGCACAAGCGGUGGAGCAUGUGGUUUAAUUCGAUGCAACGCGAAGAACCUUACCUA
rnacentral:rRNA from 1 species